rnacentral:rRNA from 1 species
UAGGGAAUUUUCCACAAUGGGCGAAAGCCUGAUGGAGCAACGCCGCGUGCAGGAGGAAGGCCUUCGGGUUGUAAACUGCUUUUAUGUGUGACGAUUUUGACGGUAACACAUGAAUAAGGACCUGCUAACUACGUGCCAGCAGCCGCGGUCAUACGUAGGGUCCAAGCGUUAUCCGGAAUCACUGGGCGUAAAGAGUUGCGUAGGUGGCAAUAUAAGCGAAUAGUGAAAGCGUCCCGCUCAACGGGAUAUCCAUUAUUCGAACUGUAUAGCUAGAGUAUGAGAGAGGUAGAUGGAAUUUCUAGUGUAGGAGUGAAAUCCGUAGAUAUUAGAAGGAACACCGAUGGCGUAGGCAGUCUACUGGCUCAUUACUGACACUAAGGCACGAAAGCGUGGGGAGCGAACGGG